CACGCCGUAAACUAAUGCGCGUUAGGUGUAUCGGUGACCACGAGUCACCGAGGUGCCGAAGGGAAACCGUGAAACGUGCCGCCUGGGAAGUACGGUCGCAAGGCUGAGACUUAAAGGAAUUGGCGGGGGAGCACCACAACGGGUGGAGCCUGCGGUUUAAUUGGACUCAACGCCGGGAAGCUCACCGGAUAAGACAGCGGAAUGAUUGCCGGGCUGAAGACUCUGCAUGACUAGCUGAGAGGUGGUGCAUGGCGUGUGACUGU
rnacentral:rRNA from 1 species